rnacentral:rRNA from 1 species
AAUGAACGUUGGCGGCGUGGAUUAGGCAUGCAAGUCGUGCGCGAAGUCUUUUGCUUGCAUUAGACUGAAAGCGGCGAAAGGGAGAGUAACGCGUGGAUACCUACCUCUAGGUUCGGGAUAGCUGCGGGAAACUGCAGGUAAUACCGAAUAACAUCUCAGGAUCAAAGGUGUGAUUCCGCCUAGAGACGGAUCUGCGUCCUAUUAGCUUGUUGGUGGGGUAACGGCCUACCAAGGCGACGAUGGGUACCGGGCGUGAGAGCGUGACCCGGCUCACUGGGACUGAGACACUGCCCAGACACCUACGGGUGGCAG